rfam:Solanum lycopersicum cultivar Heinz 1706 chromosome 7, whole genome shotgun sequence.
GUCCCUUCGGAGAUAUCUGAUAAAAUUGGAACGAUACAAAGAAGAUUAGUGUGGCUCAUGUGCAAGGAUGACAUGCACAAAUCGAGAAAUGGUCAUGGACCUC